UACAGAGGGUGCGAGCGUUGUCCGGAAUCACUGGGCGUAAAGGGCGCGUAGGCGGUCUCUUAAGCGUGUGGUGAAAGCCCGGGGCUCAACUCCGGGUCGGCCGUGCGAACUGGGGGACUGGAGCUUGUCAGAGGCAGGCGGAAUUCCGGGUGUAGCGGUGGAAUGCGUAGAGAUCCGGAAGAACAUCAGUGGCGAAGGCGGCCUGCUGGGCUGUUGCUGACGCUGAGGCGCGACAGCGUGGGGAGCAAACAGG
rnacentral:rRNA from 1 species